AUUGAACGCUGGCGGCAGGCUUAACACAUGCAAGUCGAACGAGUGGCGGACGUGUGAGUAAUGCUUGGGAAUCUGGCUUAUGGAGGGUGAUAACUUCGGGAAACUGUAGCUAAUACCGCGUACCUUAGGAUGAGCCCAAGUGGUAUUAGGUAGUUGGUGAGGUAAAGGCUAACCAAGCCGACGAUCUCUAGCUGGUCUGAGAGGGUGACGAGCCACACUGGGACUGAGACACGGCCCAGACGCCUACGUGAGGCAGCAGUGGGGAAUAUUGCGCAAUGGGGGCAACCUGAGGCAGCCAUGCCGCGGGAAUGAAGAAGGCCUUCGGGUUGUAAAGUUCUUUCGGUAGCGAGGAGUUAACUACAGAAGAAGCACCGGAUAACUCCGUGCCAGCAGCCGCGGUAAUUC
rnacentral:rRNA from 1 species